GCAGCAGGGAAUCUUGGGCAAUGGGCGAAAGCCUGACCCAGCGACGUCGCGUGGGGGAMGAAGGCCUUAGGGUUGUAAACCCCUUUUCYGAGGGAAGAGAUAGGACGGUACCUCGGGAAUAAGCCYCGGCUAACUACGUGCCAGCAGCCGCGGUAAUACGUAGGGGGCAAGCGUUAYCCGGAAUCACUGGGCGUAAAGUGCGCGUAGGCGGYUUGAUAAGUCUCUUGUGAAAKCUCCCGGCUCAACUGGGAGAGGUCAAGGGAUACUAUYCGACURGAGGACAGCAGAGGUAAGCRGAAUUCCCGGUGUAGCGGUGGAAUGCGUAGAUAUCGGGAGGAACACCAGUGGCGAAAGCGGCUUWCUGGGCUGUYCUGACGCUGAGGCGCGAGAGCGUGGGGAGCAAACUGGAUUAGAUACCCAGGUAGUCCACGCCCUAAACGAUGGAUACUAGWUAUGGGGGGUAUUGACCCCCUCCCGUGCCGUAGCUAACGCAUAAGUAUCCCGCCUG
rnacentral:rRNA from 1 species